CAAAUGUAAGAGGCAGCAGAGGAAGAGAAAUAUGCAUUGGGGGCAUAGAAUAAUUUCAUUAUUUUGUUGUAAUAGAUAUGGGGAAUGAGGGAGCAGUUUCAAAAAGUGGGGAUUUUGUGGGAAGAGGGGACACAAUUUUGGGACACCAUUUGCUAGCCUGUAACCAAGGGAGUGAAUACAUUACAAUGUCAACUAUAAUCCAAC